rnacentral:rRNA from 1 species
CCCUUAGAUGGUCUGGGCGGCACGCGCGCUACAAUGAUGCAUUCAAAAAGUCUUCUGACCUUAGAAGGUUGGGUAUUCUCCAAAGUGCAUCGUGAUGGGAAUAGUUUAUUGCAAUUUUUAAUCUUGAACGAGGAAUUCCUAGUAAGUACAGGUCAUCAACUUGUGUUGAUUACGUCCCUGCCCUUUGUACACACCGCCCGUCGCUCCUACUGAUUGAGUGUCUCGGUGAAUUCUUUGAUCUUCUGUCGAUUCAGUUCACUGAUCCGACGGUGGAAAGUUGAAUGAACUUCGUCACUUAGAGGAAGGAGAAGGCGUAACA